CGAAGCGUGGCAGAGCAGCAAAUGCAGCGCGCUGUAAACGCGACGCCCUUACGGGCUACGAAGGUGCGAGUCCUUCCGCUUCGACCA
rnacentral:tRNA from 1 species